CCUCUGAAUCAGGGAUAACUCCGCGAAAGCGGGGCUAAUACCUGAUAAUAUCUUUAAUAUUUAGGUGUUUAAGAUCAAAAGUGGCCUCUACAUGUAAGCUACUGUUUGGAGAUGAGCCCGCGUGCCAUUAGCUUGUUGGUAGGGUAAUGGCCUACCAAGGCUGCGAUGGCUAGCUGGUCUGAGAGGAUGAUCAGCCACACUGGAACUGACACACGGUCCAG
rnacentral:rRNA from 1 species